rnacentral:rRNA from 1 species
UACGUAGGUGGCAAGCGUUAUCCGGAAUUAUUGGGCGUAAAGCGCGCGCAGGUGGUUCCUUAAGUCUGAUGUGAAAGCCCACGGCUCAACCGUGGAGGGUCAUUGGAAACUGGGAGACUUGAGUGCAGAAGAGGAAAGUGGAAUUCCAUGUGUAGCGGUGAAAUGCGUAGAGAUAUGGAGGAACACCAGUGGCGAAGGCGACUUUCUGGUCUGCAACUGACACUGAGGCGCGAAAGCGUGGGGAGCAAACAGG